GUGCGUGCGCGGCUACCAUGCAGUCGAGCGGUAACAUAUAGAACUUGCUACUUUGCUGACGAGCGGCGGACGGGUGAGUAGUGCUUGGGAACGUGCCUUGAGGUGGGGGACAAGUGUUGGAAACCAGUGCUAAUACCGCAUAAUGUCUACGGACCAAGGGGGGCUUCCUCUCUCCCCUUUAUAUUGCCCCAAGUGGGAUUAUCUAUGUGGUGAGGUAGUGUCUCCCCAGGGCCAAUAUCCCUAUGUGGUUUGAGAGGAUGAUCACCCACUCUGGGACUGACACACGGCCCACACUCCUACGGGAGGCAGCAGUGGAGAAUAUUGCACAGUGGGCGCAACCCUGAUGCACCCAUGCCGCGUGUGUGAAAAAGGCCUUCGGGUUGUAAAGCUCUUUCACUCGAGAAGAAAGGUUAAUAUUUAAUACCUGCUAUCUGUGACUUUACUGACAAAAAAAGCCCCGUCUAUCUCCGUGCCAACACCCGCGGUAAUACAGAGGGUGCGAGCGUUACUCAAAAUUACUGGGCGUAAAGCGUACGCACGCGUUGUGUUAAGCGAUAUGUGAAACCCCCGGUCUCACCCUGAAAACUGCAUUUCAAACUGGCACUCUAGAGUGAGAUAGAGGGUGAUAAAAUUUCGUGUGUAGCGGAGAAAUGCAUAGAUAUCUGAAAGAAUACCUAUGGCGAAGGCACCCACCUGGCUCAACUCUGACUCUCGUGUACGAAAGCGUGGAGAGCACACAAGAUUAUAUCUGCUU
rnacentral:rRNA from 1 species